AGUGAACGCUGGCGGUAGGCCUAACACAUGCAAGUCGAACGGCAGCACAGUAAGAGCUUGCUCUUACGGGUGGCGAGUGGCGGACGGGUGAGGAAUACAUCGGAAUCUACUUUUUCGUGGGGGAUAACGUAGGGAAACUUACGCUAAUACCGCAUACGACCUACGGGUGAAAGCAGGGGAUCUUCGGAUCUUGCGCGAUUGAAUGAGCCGAUGUCGGAUUAGCUAGUUGGCGGGGUAAAGGCCCACCAAGGCGACGAUCCGUAGCUGGUCUGAGAGGUUGAUCAGCCACACUGGAACUGAGACACGGUCCAGACUCCUACGGGAGGCAGCAGUGGGGAAUAUUGGACAAUGGGCGCAAGCCUGAUCCAGCCAUACCGCGUGGGUGAAGAAGGCCUUCGGGUUGUAAAGCCCUUUUGUUGGGAAAGAAAAGCAGCAGGUUAAUACCCCGCUGUUCUGACGGUACCCAAAGAAUAAGCACCGGCUAACUUCGUG
rnacentral:rRNA from 1 species